AUGUUUGUGUGUGUGGGGGACAUAUGUGUGUGCAGUGUCUCUAGACGCAGUAAUCCUGCCAGACCUAAUUACUGCUCUCUAUCCCUCCUUCUCUCUCUCUCUCUCUCUCUCUCUCUCUCUCUCGCUCUCUCUGUCUCUCUCUCUCUCUCUCUCUCUCUCUCUCUCAGCUCUCAGAGUGGAGUUUUGAGUUGGCUGCCUCAUGGGUUCAGCAGUGCUCUCCCUCAGCCAGUAAACUCCUCUAAACUGGCCAACAGUGAAGUUAAGCAUGAGAGAAAUGCAGUGACCAGCAGGGCUGGAAUGAUAGGCUGGAUUGUGCAGGAACUGGGAAAAGUGGUUCCACAGCCAGAUGAGAAAUACAAGGGUCACACAGAGACGGAGGAGGUCACUGAGGUGCAAGAGGUCAAACACGUUCAUGAUGCUGAGCCACUGCCUCAUAUUCCUGUGGUGGAGGUUGUGCCUAAUGAGGAACCAGACUCUGCUAAUGUGCCUUUCUCUCCCAGGUAUAUGUAUAUACUGUAUCAGCUGUCAGAAGCCAAUCUGAACUCUCAUUCUGCCUGAACACAUUUAACCUAUCUGUUUCUUUCUCUUUCAGGGUAAUAGAAUGGAUUAAGCAUGGUUUUGAGAAAGUAGUUCCUCAGUCUCCUGUCCAUCUUCGUCCUCCCGCUAGCACAGAUGCACCCGCCCAGAAGGUUGCUUCUGCACCUGUGACUCCCUGCAAACAAGAGCCAGGUAACAUUUUAAAAAUCAAGAAUGUUAGGCUUUCUUGGUGACAGAGUGGUCUGCGUGUGACAUUUUUCUUUUAUUUAGCACCUGCACCUGCACCUGCACCUGCACCAACACCUGCUCCUGCACCUCCACCUGUGCCUGCACCUGCACCAGCACCAACACCUGCUCCUGCACCUCCACCUGCACCAGCACCAGCACCAACACCUGCACCUGCAGCCCCACCUGCACCUGCACCUGCAGCUCCUGAGCAACCUAAAGUAGCUGAGGAUUCCAAAGGCACAAAGUGAGUGUCCACCUGCUUCCCUUAAAAUGUCUAUGGUUAUGCUCCAACCCGAUUUCAUGAAAGUGCGUAUAAAUAGUAUGCCAAAAAAAAUUUAAACUUGUGGUAUUGAUACACAAAAGUUACUUUGGCAUGUAUAUGCUACGUAAUGGGUA
rnacentral:lncRNA from 12 species